rnacentral:rRNA from 1 species
AAUAGAUACCCUGGUAGUCCACGCCGUAAACUAUGGAUGCUAGCUGUUACCAGUAUCGACCCUGGUAGUAGCGAAGCUAACGCGUUAAGCAUCCCGCCUGUGGAGUACGAGCGCAAGCUUAAAACAUAAAGGGGAUUGACGGGGACCCGCACAAGCGGUGGAGCGUGUUGUUUAAUUCGAUGGUAAGCGAAGAACCUUACCCAGGCUUGACAUCCUGCGAAUCUUGCCGAAAGGCGAGAGUGCUUUAUUGAGCGCAGUGACAGGUGUUGCAUGGCCGUCGUCAGCUCGUGUCGUGAGAUGUUUGGUUAAGUCCAUCAACGAGCGCAACCCUUAUAGUCAGUUGAAUUUCUCUGGCUAGACUGCCCUGGUAACAGGGAGGAAGGAGGGGAUGAUGUCAGGUCAGUAUUACCCUUACGUCUGGGGCUACAAACACGCUACAAUGGCCGGUACAAAGGGCAGCCAACCCGCGAGGGGGAGCAAAUCCCAUCAAAGCCGGUCUCAGUUCGGAUAGCAGGCUGAAACUCG